rnacentral:tmRNA from 1 species
GGGGGCGUAAAGGUAUCGACGGGGAAUGUGAGAUAUCGUAAGCGGGCAGAAGUCCGGUACUUCUAUAAAAACCGGAAUUUAAAAAUAAACGCUAACAGAAAUGUAGCAAUCGCCGCCUAACGGCGGCCGUCGCUCCGGUGAGUACUGCGGCAUCGGAAGCGGCGUGACAGAGCAGUGAACGUGAACCGUCUUAAGCUUUGCGGACGGUCAUGAACCAAUGAAGCUACCGGGAUGCGCAGCCUGACGGUCGGCGGCGUGUCCGGGGAAUCCUGAGGAUCGUCUGCGCCCGGAGAAAGCGGUAAGGAUCGUUUUUCGGACACGGGUUCGACUCCCGUCGCCUCCACCA